AUGGCCGGGCAGGGCACAGACGUGGUCUUCUGUGUUGGUGGCAGGACGAUCGCUGCUCACCGCUCCGUCCUGGCAGCCCGCUCUACUGUCUUCAGGGCGUCACUCUUCGGUCCAAUGCAGGAAGGCACCUCGUCGUCGGUCGUGCAGAUAGACGACAUGGACGCGGCGGUGUUCAAGGCAAUGCUAGGGUUCAUCUACGGUGACACGUUGUAUGCAGUGAAGGAGGAGACCAAUGACGAGGACAUGGUGUUGCUGCAGCACCUGCUCGUGGCGGCGGACAAGUAGAAUAUCCAGAGGCUGAGGAUGAUGUGCGAGAAGAAGCUUUGCGAGCACAUCGGUGUAGGUAUGGUGACGAGCAUCCCGGCGCUUGCCGAGCAGCACGGUUGUCAUGGACUGAAGAAGGCGUGCUGCGAGUUCCUCCGGUGUCCGGACAACCUGAGGGCGGUGGUGGACACGGACGGCUUUGAUCACUUGUGCAGGAGCUGCCCCCCUCAUAUGAAGGAUAUGAUCCUUGGCGUGCUACCGGCAAAGUAA
rnacentral:rRNA from 1 species